rnacentral:sRNA from 1 species
GCUGGGAGUGGUGGUGCACACCUGGAAUCCCAGAGGCUCGGGAGGCUGAGGCAGGGGGAUUGUGAGUUCAAAGCCAGCCUCAGCAACUUAGUGAAGCUCUAAGCAACUCAGUGAGACCCUGUCUCUA